rnacentral:rRNA from 1 species
CCUACGGGAGGCAGCAGUGGGGAAUUUUGGACAAUGGACGCAAGUCUGAUCCAGCCAUGCCGCGUGCGGGAAGAAGGCCUUCGGGUUGUAAACCGCUUUUGUCAGGGAAGAAAAGGCUCCGGAUAAUACCUGGGGCUCAUGACGGUACCUGAAGAAUGAGCACCGGCUAACUACGUGCCAGCAGCCGCGGUAAUACGUAGGGUGCAAGCGUUAAUCGGAAUUACUGGGCGUAAAGCGUGCGCAGGCGGUUAUGUAAGACAGAGGUGAAAUCCCCGGGCUCAACCUGGGAACUGCCUUUUGUGACUGCAUGACUAGAGUACGGUAGAGGGGGAUGGAAUUCCACGUGUAGCAGUGAAAUGCGUAGAUAUGUGGAGGAACACCGAUGGCGAAGGCAAUUCCCUGGACCUGUACUGACGCUCAUGCACGAAAGCGUGGGGAGCAAUACAGGAUUAGAUACCCUGGUAGUCCACGCCCUAAACGAUGUCAACUGGUUGUUGGGAGGGUUUCUUCUCAGUACUCGUAGCUAACGCGUGAAGUUGACCGCCUGGGGAGUACGGCCGCAAGGUUGAAACUCAAAGGAAUUGACGG